GAAUUCGCCCUUCCUACGGGAGGCAGCAGUGGGGAAUAUUGGGCAAUGGGCGAAAGCCUGACCCAGCGACGCCGUGUGGGCGAUGAAGGCCUUCGGGUUGUAAAGCCCUGUGAGGUGGAAAGAAGGGUCCAGAGGUUAAUACCCUUUGGACCUUGACGGUACCACCAGAGGAAGCACCGGCUAACUCCGUGCCAGCAGCCGCGGUAAUACAAGGGCGAAUUC
rnacentral:rRNA from 1 species